rnacentral:tRNA from 1 species
GCGGCGCUGGCGGUCUAGUGACCGCACCUGUUCGACAAGCAGGACGAGGCAGGUGCGAUCCCUGCGCGCCGCA